rnacentral:rRNA from 1 species
UACAGAGGGGGCAAGCGUUGUUCGGAAUUACUGGGCGUAAAGGGCGCGUAGGCGGCCGCCUAAGUCAGACGUGAAAUCCCUCGGCUCAACCGGGGAACUGCGUCUGAUACUGGGUGGCUUGAAUCCGGGAGAGGGAUGCGGAAUUCCAGGUGUAGCGGUGAAAUGCGUAGAUAUCUGGAGGAACACCGGUGGCGAAGGCGGCCUGCUGGGCAGUAUAGCUGACACUGAGGCGCGACAGCGUGGGGAGCAAACAGGG